rnacentral:rRNA from 1 species
GACGAACGCUGGCGGCGUGCUUAACACAUGCAAGUCGAACGGAAAGGCCCUGCUUUUGUGGGGUGCUCGAUUGGCGAACGGGUGAGUAACACGUGAGUAACCUGCCCUUGACUUUGGGAUAACUUCAGGAAACUGGGGCUAAUACCGGAUAGGAUCUCCUGCUGCAUGGUGGGGGUUGGAAAGUUUCGGCGGUUGGGGAUGGACUCGCGGCUUAUCAGCUUGUUGGUGGGGUAGGGGCUUACCAAGGCUUUGACGGGUAGCCGGCCUGAGAGGGUGAACGGCCACAUUGGGACUGAGAGACGGACCAGAAUCCUACGGGAGGCAGCAGUGGGGAAUAUUGCACAACGGGCGGAAGCCUGAUGCAGCAACGCCGCGUGCGGGAUGACGGCCUUCGGGUUGUAAACCGCUUUCGCCUGUGACGAAGCGUGAGUGACGGUAAUGGGUAAAGAAGCACCGGCUAACUACGUG